GGGCUUUCACAAAGAAUGUCUAGGGGAGCACAAAAAAUAAGUGAAAAAUAAAAAGCAAUGUGCAAAAGGAUGAACUCCUUGAAUUUCUUCCAUGAAUGCUGCAUGAUAAGCCCGUAAGGGGGGUUUUUGGACAUAGUGUGGCCUGAUCUUCAGUGGGAAAUAACAUCUGCUUGGAGACUAUACUCUCUCUGCGAGAGACACCCACUUUGAUUAAUAUGAUUAUGUAUAUGUGUCAAUAAAGAAGUAACCACUACAUUAAAGCCUUUGUAAAAAUUCUGAGAUAGUUUAAUUGAAAUAAUUUAUGGUUUAAAAGAAUAAUAACUUUCUGUUAAUGAUCCCAUGGACAGCCGGAAGGUCCCCUUACAAAUUCUAAUCCCAAGAUAACUGGAUUCUUCUCUGGAUUCCUAGCAGAAAAGAAGGAAGUAUUUCUAUAGCAAGUCAACUUUUCAGUGAAAAUCUCAGCUUCAUGAUGCUCAGAGGUUUGGAAUGUGAAAGGAAGUAUUGAAGGGAGAAAUUAGUUAUCAGAAUCUGCAUACAAUGCUCAGAAAGGUGUAAAACAACUCAUAAUGGGGAAGCUCUGAUACUUACUUGGUGUUUAUUUACAUACUUAAUUCUGUCAUACCAGAUCUUUCCCAAACUCCCCUACCCUCCCACCCCCCCUCCUUGAUUUAAAAGUGUGCACAUUUCCUUUUUUCCUUUUUUCCUUUUUUCAGCUGCUGUUUCUGAAUCUUUGCUGGUCUUCUCAUCUUUGGCUCAGAGAUGCUGCUUAUAUUUUAUAGCGUGUGGACAACAAAAUCAUCAAACCUUAUUCUCUGGACAUUCCUUGGCAAAGCUGUUCUCACAGGGAAAAUCAAAACUUGGAUUCUCUUCAUUUCCAAAAUCAGCACUUGCUUUUUCUUAGCAAAAGGCCAACAUGUGAUAAAAUGAAAGACUGACAGUGUUCACAUCAAUGCAGCCAGAGGUGGAAUAAGCCAUGGAAGGCUGAGAGACCCGGGACUGUUCAGACUGGAGAAGAGAAAACUGAGGGAGG
rnacentral:lncRNA from 1 species